rnacentral:tRNA from 1 species
AUUUAAAUUAUUAAAUGAAAAAUAUUUUUUUGUAAAUUUUUAAUUAUAAAUAUAUGUAGAUUUAGAAAUAUUAAAUUAUACAUUUAACAUUUAUAAUUAAAAUCUUAAAUAAUUUAAAUAUUUAACAUCUAAUUUGACUUUAUAAAUCAAAAUUAUUCUAAUAUAAUAUUCCUAUUUACAAAAAAAGUAUAUAUUUUUAAAAAUAUAUUGUAUAGAAUUUUAAAUA